rnacentral:misc_RNA from 1 species
CCAAUAGCGUAUAUUAAAGUUGUUGCAGUUAAAAAGCUCGUAGUUGAAUUUCGGGAUUAGUACGUUGGUCGUGCCUUGGUACGUACUGGUGUAACUGAUUCCUCCCUUCUGACGAACCGUUAUGCCAUUAAUUUGGUGUGGCGGGAAAUCAGGACUGUUACUUUGAAAAAAUUAGAGUGUUUAAAGCAGGCUCGCGCUUGAAUACAUUAGCAUGGACUAAUGAAAUAGGACGUUAAUCCUAUUUUGUUGGUUUCUAGGAUCGACGUAAUGAUUAAUAGGGAUAGUUGGGGGCAUUAGUAUUCAAUUGUCAGAGGUGAAAUUCUUGGAUUUAUUGAAGACUAACUACUGCGAAAGCAUUUGCCAAGGAUGUUUUCAUUAAUCAAGAACGAAAGUUAGGGGAUCGAAGACGAUCAGAUACCGUCGUAGUCUUAACCAUAAACUAUGCCGACUAGGGAUCGGAUGAUGUUAAUUUUUUAAUGACUCAUUCGGCGCCUUACG